UUGAAUGAACUUAGAGUCGGUUGUCGCUGGCUGUCUUUUGCAGCAUGUGCACGCCUUCUCUUUUCAUCCACACACACCCCUGUGCACUUGUGAGACUGGAGGCCGUAAAAAAGCCUUCAGUCUGCUAAAUUCAUAUACAAACUCAUUUAAUUGAACUGAAUGUACUUGAUGUAACGCAUCAUUGAAC
rnacentral:misc_RNA from 1 species